CAAUGGCAGGUACAGAGGGAUGCUACCGGGGCGACCGGAUGCGGAUCUCGAAAGCCUGUCCCAGUUCGGACUGGAGUCUGCAACCCGACUCCACGAAGUUGGAUUCGCUAGUAAUCGCGCAUCAGCCAUGGCGCGGUGAAUACGUUCCCGGGCCUUGUACACACCGCCCGUCAAGCCAUGGGAGCCGGGGGCGCCUGAAGUCCGGGACCGCGAGGACCGGCCUAGGGCGAAACUGGUAACUGGGGCUAAGUCGUAACAAGGUACC
rnacentral:rRNA from 1 species